CCCUACGGGGUGCGGUCCAAGCUGAAGACCUUGCUGCUGGAAAAACUUCCUCUUAUGGGCGGACAAAUUGUUUAUUCCGAAAAAGUUGAAAAUUAUCCCGGUUUUCCUGAGGGGAUUUCAGGCAUUGAUCUCACUGCGUUGAUGGAGACUCAGGCCCGCGGGUUCGGGCUUGAGAUAGAGACAGCAGAAGUGAUUGGACUAAAAGAUGAUGGAGAGGUCAAAAGAGUCAUGUGCGACGGGAAGGAAUAUCUUUGUCGCGCUCUGGUUAUCGCUUCCGGGGCUUCUCCCAAUCGCUUAGGGGUUGCGGAAGAAGAACGUUUCAUCGGAAAGGGGAUAUCUUUUUGUGGAACCUGCGACGGAUUUUUUUUUAAAGAUCUGGAGGUAAUUGUCAUUGGCGGGAGAGC
rnacentral:rRNA from 1 species